rnacentral:rRNA from 1 species
UAACGCGAAGAACCUUACCAAGGCUUGACAUACACGAGAACGGGCAGAAAUGGUCAACUCUUUGGACACUCGUGAACAGGUGGUGCAUGGUUGUCGUCAGCUCGUGUCGUGAGAUGUUGGGUUAAGUCCCGCAACGAGCGCAACCCUCGUUUUAUGUUGCCAGCGCGUAAUGGCGGGAACUCAUAGGAGACUGCCGGGGUCAACUCGGAGGAAGGUGGGGAUGACGUCAAAUCAUCAUGCCCCUUAUGACCUGGGCUACACACGUGCUACAAUGGGUGGUACAACGAGCAGCGAGACCGCGAGGUCAAGCGAAUCUCUAAAAACCAUCCUCAGUUCGGAUUGCAGGCUGCAACUCGCCUGCAUGAAGCUGGAAUCGCUAGUAAUCGCGGAUCAGC